rnacentral:rRNA from 1 species
UACGUAGGGUGCAAGCGUUAAUCGGAAUUACUGGGCGUAAAGCGUGCGCAGGCGGUUAUGUAAGACAGAUGUGAAAUGCCCGGGCUUAACCUGGGAACUGCCUUUGUGACUGCAUGGCUAGAGUUUGGCAGAGGGGGGUAGAAUUCCACGUGUAGCAGUGAAAUGCGUAGAUAUGUGGAGGAACACCGAUGGCGAAGGCAGCCCCCUGGGUCAAGACUGACGCUCAUGCACGAAAGCGUGGGGAGCAAGCAGG